rnacentral:tRNA from 1 species
CAGAACAUAGUUUAAUAAGAAUUUUGGCUUUGGGAGCCAUUGGCGGAGGUUGAAAUCCUUCUGUUCUGA